GCCUGGGUGGCUCAGUCGGUUAAGCAUCUGACUUCAGCUCAGGUCAUGAUCUCGCAGUUUGUGGGUUUGAGCCCCACGUCGGGCU
rnacentral:tRNA from 1 species